GAUGAACGCUAGCGGCAGGCCUAACACAUGCAAGUCGAGGGAUAAGCCUUCGGGCUAAGACCGGCGCACGGGUGCGUAACGCGUAUACAAUCUGCCUUUUAUCCGGGGGAUAGCCCGAAGAAAUUUGGAUUAAUACCCUAUGGUAUAAGAGCACGGCAUCGUGCACUUAUUAAAGCUACGGCGGUAAAAGAUGAGUAUGCGUUCUAUUAGCUAGUUGGAGAGGUAACGGCUCCCCAAGGCGACGAUAGAUAGGGGUUCUGAGAGGGAUGUCCCCCACACUGGUACUGCGAUACGGACCAGACUCCGACGGGAGGCAGCAGUGAGGAAUAUUGGACAAUGGUCGGAAGACUGAUCCAGCCAUGCCGCGUGCAGGAUGACGGCCUUAUGGGUUGUAAUCUGCUUUUGUAAGGGAAGAAUAAGGAGUACGUGUACUUUGAUGACGGUACCUUACGAAUAAGCAUCGGCUAACUCCGUG
rnacentral:rRNA from 1 species